UACGAAUGGAGCGAGCGUUGUUCGGAAUCACUGGGCGUAAAGGGUGCGCAGGCGGUCAUGAAAGUCAGAAGUGAAAUCCCAGGGCUCAACCCUGGAAUGGCUUUUGAAACUCCAUGACUAGAGUAUUGGAGAGGUUGGCGGAAUUCCGAGUGUAGAGGUGAAAUGCGCAGAUAUCAGGAGGAACACCGAUGGCGAAAGCAGGUACCUGGACCAUUACUGACGCUCAGCUGCGAAAGCUAGGGGAGCAAACAGG
rnacentral:rRNA from 1 species